rnacentral:rRNA from 1 species
GGGAACGUAUUCACCGCGGCGUGCUGAUCCGCGAUUACUAGCGAUUCCAACUUCAUGCAGGCGAGUUGCAGCCUACAAUCCGAACUGAGACAGGCUUUCUCCGAUUAGCUCCACCUUGCGGUCUCGCGACGGUUUGUACCUGCCAUUGUAGCACGUGUGUAGCCCCAGACAUAAAGGCCAUGCUGACUUGACGUCAUCCCCACCUUCCUCCGGUUUAUCACCGGCAGUCUCUCCAGAGUGCCCAGCUUGACCUGAUGGCAACAGAAGACAAGGGUUGCGCUCGUUGCGGGACUUAACCCAACAUCUCACGACACGAGCUGACGACAGCCAUGCAGCACCUCUACGAGUGUCCUUGCGGAAGACCACUUUCGUAGUUUGUCACUCGCUGUUCAAGCCUGGG